GGCUUGCUGGUCUAGUGGUAUGAUUCUCGCUUAGGAUGGAAGAGGUCACGGGUUCGAUUCCCGUGCAAGCCC
rnacentral:tRNA from 1 species